UGUUGGAUCUACAAUUAAAGGCUAUUAUAUUACACACACUGAGACAACCAUAGCAGCAGCACACCUGAAUAACAGAGCGCUCCUGGGGACAGAAAUCAGCCCUCUUGUUUAUAAUGGAUCAAAGCUUCAGAAGAGCUGGUGUGCUGCAGAGAGAUUUGAGAGUGUUGAACCAGAAGGAGGAAAGAGAUCUCCAGCAGAAACUGAACAUGUUGGACAGACAGCACAAGUACACCUGCAAAAUGCUUCAGCAAAGAAGAGACUCGCUGAUAAAGGAACAGAGACGAGUGGUGAUGGUGAAAGUCUGCGAGCCUCAAGCGACAGUCAA